UUUUUAGUCACUUUUCAGAGCAGAUCCCUAUUUUAAGACCUGCUAAUUGGCUUUAGGUUUGAGAUGUUUAUUCGUCCUCUUCCUUUAUAAAGAUGUAUUGUCUUUUUCACCAUUAUAGGCACAGAUUUAGAGACUGAAGGAAAAAUGACCACACUGAAAAGCAGCAUUUGAGAUAAAAUCCUCUUUUAUAUGAAACUACUUCAUAAAAUGGCUGCCACAAACUGAAUGUGUUCUGGUCUACAAAGUCUGCUGCAAUCUGCAGUUUAGUUCCACAAAAGAAGCCGUUUGCCAAGAGGACAACAGAUUACAGAUCUAAAACGUCAAAGCUCUCAAUGGAAAUUAGGUCUAAAUCCAUUCACACAGAACUAAUAUUUCCAAAUUGUAUUUUAUAACAAAGUGCAAGUUGGAAGCAAAUACAAUUGUUUGUACUGCUGCAGCAUCUCUUACAUAAUAAAAAUGCAAGCCAUGUCCAUUUCAUUAUGGUUAGGGAUACGAGAAGGUAACUGCAAUAAGGAAAUUCCAAGGGAUUUAAGCAGAAGUUGGAUCUAUAUGGUGUGUCUUAUGUUAUUUAUACUAUUGUUGUACAGGAUUGUCAAUUCCUAGAUUUUACCUUAAUUUGUAUUUCAGAUACCAGUAUUUGUGAAGUGAACAGUAGGUUACAUUAAAAAUUUAUUGUAUGUAACCUAAUGUACAGGUAACUGCUCCUCUUCACAUCUGCUUUUUUUUAAAAAAAGCAUUAGAAAAGGCAGAAGAUGCAAGAAAAAUAUAUUUUUAAAGAAACAUUACAGCCAACAUUCUGUUCCAUUAUUUAAAAUUUUGAGUUACUGACAACAUCCCAGCUUUCAACCUGGGUGAAGCAACUUAAAUCAAGUGAGCAAGCUUAACAGUAAAGUUGGAAAGCUUGACAAUUAGGUUACUGUCUGUACACUGAAAUACAAGAAGAACAGGUGUUGCUAUUCAUCCAAAAGGACCCAAGAAAGGCCUACAUACGUGCAGACUCUACUCAACUUUUUGUAAGAGUUAAACUAACAUCGUUUCCUCUCAGGAAUAAUGUCUCUUUCAAGUCAACUCUCAGAGGAGUUUGUGUUUGUUCAGAUAAGAUUUUUUUUUCCUUUCCUAAGAAUGGAAAUGCAGGAAUCACAAUUCCAGUCAUAUUCCCCAGUCAUUAUACUAAUGCACUCUCUACCAAAACACACACAGUUUCCCAUCUGUAUUUUUGCUUCUCAUAACCUCAGAUCAGUGGCACCACUCACUCAUAUCCACCUUACCCAUCCAUUGUCAUUACUGUAGCCUCCAAUCAAGGCAUGAUUGUGUAAUAUGACUUCACACAUUACCUAAUGCUUAUAAGCUUGUCCAAUAAAACUGAGAGGAGAGUCAAGUCAGAGAAGCAUGAUCCAUUCAGACAUCCAUGUGUUUCAGAAUUACAGUAAAGCAAGCUGAAGGCUUUACUUCCUAGAAAUCAUUUCCCCCAUAUCUUAAAGUCAACCUUAGGAAGUAGAGUAUUUUAGACAUCCAGCUGACUCACAGCUCAGAAAAUAAGGCUCAUUUAUAAAUGUGCUCUGUUCAAUUGCUCCCACACUCCAGGUGAGUAGAUAUUACCAGCAGUAAAUUUAUUCUGGUGAAGUAUGGGGAAAGGGGGAGAAAAAUGGUAAGCAUUUUACUUUUUUAUUUAAUACAAACAGGUGAAACACAUGGCUUAUCAAUGAGGCUAGACACAUGAUCUUUGCUACAAAAGAGAAAAAUUACACGUGAUGCUAUGCAAAUAUUAUACCCUUGGGACAGAAAAAAAAUCAAAGGUCGUGUGUCUGUGUGAUCCAACUUAUUCAUCCAUUAUACCUAGUUAUUAGAUUUCAUUUUAUUUGGCAUAAUGUUCCUACACUCCUAAAAUGUAUUUAUUCUGAUUGCUGUUGCUCUUACUACUGAUCAUCCACAUUUUUCAGUGUUAUUUAGAUUAAAAAGCAAACCAACUUUUCUUGACAAAGUCAGGAUUUUUGCAGCUUCACUUACAAACAUAAUUACAACCUUACAAUUAUGGUUAAAAAUGUGUCAAACAUUUUAAAUAAUGCAAGUCCUUGUAUGUACUGUGUGUAUGUGAUUUGGUAUUUUUUAAACCAAUUUAACAAUACCAUUUUAAAUCAAAUAAACUUACCUAUUUCCAUUUUAAGACCUUUUAUUAUAUUGCAAUUUAAAAACAUUCCUGAUUUGCAUGCAAAAUUAAGUUUUAAAAGGCUAUAACAAAAUAACGUGGUCAUAACUGUGUUUCUACCACAAUAUUUCAAGUUCAUAGAAUGUUCAAGAAUAGGUUAAAUAUUACUGGACAAAGAGUCUUUCUUAUUCAUACAUUUGAUAAAAACUUACAUAGUGCACAUAUUGAUACCAAAGAGUUUUGGAAUUCAUUUUAUUGAUAAUUACUUAAAAGAUACUUAAGGAAAAAUGAAUAGGUCACGAUUUAAUAAAAGUUAACAAAAACAGGCAAAAUGCAGUGUAUUGACAAACCACUGAAGAGCAAUGCAAAGUUUUUAAGACUUCAAUGUUAGAUUAAGCCAACAUAUUUUGUUUAAGAUACAAUGUUAAAAGUUAAAUGAAGAAACAAAGGACUUAAUGUUGUGGUAAGUAUCAAAUGUUAGCUGUAUUUUCAGUAUACUGUUCCACAAAUCAAAGUUAAAUUUAUAAAAUAUCUGAAAAGAAUACCAUUACUUGACAUAAAAGUAAACACAUUAUGAGCAAAAAUAUACAAAACAAGCAAGCAAAUGACACCAAGGUUCCCAUUAACAAUCCUAGGUUAGAUUUUAUAAACAUGAAAUACUAUCACCACCAGGGGAAAGUUUGGUUAAAUUGUAUCAAAAUAUCCUAAAAUACCUAAACAGUAUCAAAGUUCUGUAAGCCCAAACAAAAUAUAAAGCAAGGAGCAUCAAUCAAACAGGCACUUUUUAGUUUAUAUUUUAAAAUGAACUUUUUUUCAUUCAUGUAAGUUUCUCUAGUGUCUAUUUACUAUAAUUUACUACUACUUGGCUUCUGUAUGGCCCUCAGUUAAAGUUUAGACUUCUGAGAUUCUUCAAAGAAAAAUUUGCCUUGUAUGUAAAAUGGUGCAAUGCAGCAAUGGCUAAACCGACAAGGUCGUUUUUCACAGAACAAAAAACCUAAAAACUGAAAUUCAGAAACUGAAAAAGCGUAACAGAGAAAGGGACUCCCUUGAAUAAAGGUACAUUACCUUUUGACUCUGACAUGGGCCCUUAAGUCACAACACAACUUUCAGAAAUUGCUACCAAAAAAAAUUAGGGUGUGGCAUAUUAACAAUCUCAAGGUCAUUCCUUAAAAAAGGAAUCAAAAUCAGUUAUAUGUUUUGUAUUAAGUACGGACAGUAACCCAAAGCUGUCAAGGUAAACACUGUAUUCAGAGGUUUUUAAAAAAAUAAAGUUGAUAGAUCAUACCUCGAUGCAUUGCUGUGUACUGAACCCUCCUCUCCUUGGCUUUUGUCCUCAUUUCUCAUCAUCUUUUAAUUCUUAAAUAUUUAAGGGGGGUAUCUGUGUUUGCUUUGAUGUCCUGUGCCCAGGUAUUUACUGUCAAAAGUUGAAAGAAAGGUAAGGUCCCAGUUUGUUUCAUUGGCUUUCGUUAUCAAGAACAAAGUCCUGACGCUGCAAUGAUAGUUAUAACAAUACACAACACUGAUCAGCACAGGAAAACGGACAUUUAAAAUAAUAAUAUUCAUUUUAAAAAGAAAAAGUAGGAAGAGAAACAGCCCAGAGCAGCAUCCUGCAAACUUUCUCAAAGUAACAGAGGAAGCAAAAAAAUCUCUAUUUUAUUGCGUCAUCCCAACACAGCUCAAAUCGGUCGAAAAGUCAAAGGACUCAAAAACGGCAGAAAUCUGAAAAUUAAUAAUAUUAAUUGCCCACCUACCUGAUCCAUGCACCACCGCCAGGACCAAGCCGAUAUUAGUUUCGGGUAGUGGAAAAACAUCAGAUCCAAAAUAUUUGGAGGCUAAAACGAUAACUAUAUAUUUUUAGAUAAUA